AGAGUUUGAUCCUGGCUCAGAUUGAACGCUGGCGGCAUGCCUUACACAUGCAAGUCGAACGGCAGCACGGGGGCAACCCUGGUGGCGAGUGGCGAACGGGUGAGUAACAUAUCGGAACGUGUCCUGGAGUGGGGGAUAACUAGUCGAAAGACUAGCUAAUACCGCAUACGAUCUACGGAUGAAAGUGGGGGAUCGCAAGACCUCAUGCUCGUGGAGCGGCCGAUAUCUGAUUAGCUAGUUGGUGGGGUAAAGGCCUACCAAGGCAUCGAUCAGUAGCUGGUCUGAGAGGACGACCAGCCACACUGGGACUGAGACACGGCCCAGAAUCCUACGGGAGGCAGCAGUGGGGAAUUUUGGACAAUGGGCGCAAGCCUGAUCCAGCAAUGCCGCGUGAGUGAAGAAGGCCUUCGGGUUGUAAAGCUCUUUUGUCAGGGAAGAAACGGUUCUGGUUAAUACCUGGGGCUAAUGACGGUACCUGAAGAAUAAGCACCGGCUAACUACGUGCCAGCAGCCGCGGUAAUACGUAGGGUGCAAGCGUUAAUCGGAAUUACUGGGCGUAAAGCGUGCGCAGGCGGUUGUGCAAGACCGAUGUGAAAUCCCCGGGCUUAACCUGGGAAUGGCAUUGGUGACUGUACGGCUAGAGUGUGUCAGAGGGGGGUAGAAUUCCACGUGUAGCAGUGAAAUGCGUAGAGAUGUGGAGGAAUACCGAUGGCGAAGGCAGCCCCCUGGGAUAACACUGACGCUCAUGCACGAAAGCGUGGGGAGCAAACAGGAUUAGAUACCCUGGUAGUCC
rnacentral:rRNA from 1 species